UGUUCACCUAUUUGUGUGUUUGUAUAUGCGUGUUAUUGUGUGCGUGCUUUGAGCCGUCUACUGUCCUUGUGUGUGUGUGUGUGUGUGUGUGUGUGCGUGUUGUGUGUGUGUGUGUG